rnacentral:rRNA from 1 species
UACGUAGGGUGCGAGCGUUGUCCGGAAUUAUUGGGCGUAAAGAGCUUGUAGGCGGUUUGUCGCGUCUGCUGUGAAAAUCCGGGGCUCAACCCCGGACUUGCAGUGGGUACGGGCAGACUAGAGUGUGGUAGGGGAGAACUGGAAUUCCUGGUGUAGCGGUGAAAUGCGCAGAUAUCAGGAGGAACACCGAUGGCGAAGGCAGGUCUCUGGGCCACUACUGACGCUGAGAAGCGAAAGCAUGGGGAGCGAACAGG